rnacentral:rRNA from 1 species
AUUGAACGCUGGCGGCAGGCCUAAUACAUGCAAGUCGAGCGGAUGAACGGAGCUCGCUCUUGGCUUCAGCGGCGGACGGGCGAGUAAUGCCUACGAAUCUGCCUGGUAGAGGGGGCUAACGUCCGGAAACGGGCGCUAAUACCGCAUACGUCCUGAGGGAGAAAGUGGGGGAUCUUCGGACCUCACGCUAUUUGAUGAGCCUAGGUCGGAUUAGCUAGUUGGUGGGGUAAAGGCCUACCAAGGCGACGAUCCGUAACUGGUCUGAGAGGAUGAUCAGUCACACUGGAACUGAGACACGGUCCAGACUCCUACGGGAGGCAGCAGUGGGGAAUAUUGGACAAUGGGCGAAAGCCUGAUCCAGCCAUGCCGCGUGUGUGAAGAAGGUCUUCGGAUUGUAAAGCACUGUAAGUUGGGAGGAAGGGCAGUAAGUGAAUACCUUGCUGUUUUGACGUUACCAACAGAAUAAGCACCGGCUAACUUCGUG